rnacentral:rRNA from 1 species
CCUACGGGAGGCAGCAGUGAGGAAUAUUGGUCAAUGGCCGGAAGGCUGAACCAGCCAUGCCGCGUGAAGGUCAGUGCCCUAUGGGCGUUAAACUUCUUUUGUGCGGGAGCAAUAAUGGUCACGUGUGGCCAGACGAGAGUACCGUACGAAUAAGCAUCGGCUAACUCCGUGCCAGCAGCCGCGGUAAUACGGGGGAUGCAAGCGUUAUCCGGAUUUAUUGGGUUUAAAGGGUGCGUAGGCUGUGAGGUAAGUCAGCGGUGAAAUGCCCCCGCUCAACGGGGUGAAGUGCCAUUGAUACUGCCUUGCUGGAAUGCGGAUGCCGUGGGAGGAAUGUGUGGUGUAGCGGUGACAUGCAGAGAUAUCACACAGAACACCGAUUGCGAAGGCAUCUCACGAAUCCGCGAUUGACGCUGACGCACGAAAGCGUGGGUAUCAAACAGGAUUAGAUACCCUUGUAGUC